rnacentral:rRNA from 1 species
CAGCCGCCGCGGUAAUACGUAGGGGGCGAGCGUUGUCCGAAGUUACUGGGCGUAAAGCGCGCGUAGGCGGCUUCUUAAGUCUGAUGUGAAAGCCCCCGGCUCAACCGGGGAGGGUCAUUGGAAACUGGGAAACUUGAGUGCAGAAGAGGAGAGUGGAAUUCCACGUGUAGCGGUGAAAUGCGUAGAGAUGUGGAGGAACACCAGUGGCGAAGGCGACUCUCUGGUCUGUAACUGACGCUGAGGAGCGAAAGCGUGGGGAGCGAACAGGAUUAGAUACCCCAGUAGUCCCUGUCUCUUAUAC